UACGAAGGUGGCAAGCGUUGUUCGGAUUCACUGGGCGUACAGGGAGCGUAGGCGGUUGGGUAAGCCCUCCGUGAAAUCUCCGGGCCUAACCCGGAAAGGGCGGAGGGGACUGCUCAGCUAGAGGAUGGGAGAGGAGCGCGGAAUUCCCGGUGUAGCGGUGAAAUGCGUAGAGAUCGGGAGGAAGGCCGGUGGCGAAGGCGGCGCUCUGGAACAUUUCUGACGCUC
rnacentral:rRNA from 1 species